rnacentral:rRNA from 1 species
CCUACGGGAGGCAGCAGUGAGGAAUAUUGGUCAAUGGACGAGAGUCUGAACCAGCCAAGUAGCGUGAAGGAUGACUGCCCUAUGGGUUGUAAACUUCUUUUAUAAAGGAAUAAAACGAGGCACGUGUGCCUUUUUGCAUGUACUUUAUGAAUAAGGAUCGGCUAACUCCGUGCCAGCCGCCGCGGUAAUACGGAGGAUCCGAGCGUUAUCCGGAUUUAUUGGGUUUAAAGGGAGCGUAGAUGGGUUGUUAAGUCAGUUGUGAAAGUUUGCGGCUCAACCGUAAAAUUGCAAUGGAUACUGGCAGUCUUGAGUACAGUUGAGGUAGGCGGAAUUCGUGGUGUAGCGGUGAAAUGCGUAGAUAUCACGAAGAACCCCGAUUGCGAAGGCAGCUUACUAAACUGUGACUGACAUUGAUGCGCGAAAGCGUGGGUAUCAAACAGGAUUAGAUACCCGGGUAGUC